rnacentral:rRNA from 1 species
AGUGAACGCUGGCGGUAGGCCUAACACAUACAAGUCGAACGGCAGCACAGUAAGAGCUUGCUCUUACGGGUGGCGAGUGGCGGACGGGUGAGGAAUACAUCGGAAUCUACUUUUUCGUGGGGGGUAACGUAGGGAAACUUACGCUAAUACCGCAUACGACCUACGGGUGAAAGCAGGGGAUCUUCGGACCUUGCGCGAUUGAAUGAGCCGAUGUCGGAUUAGCUAGUUGGCGGGGUAAAGGCCCACCAAGGCGACGAUCCGUAGCUGGUCUGAGAGGAUGAUCAGCCACACUGGAACUGAGACACGGUCCAGACUCCUACGGGAGGCAGCAGUGGGGAAUAUUGGACAAUGGGCGCAAGCCUGAUCCAGCCAUACCGCGUGGGUGAAGAAGGCCUUCGGGUUGUAAAGCCCUUUUGUUGGGAAAGAAAAGCAGCAGGUUAAUACCCCGCUGUUCUGACGGUACCCAAAGAAUAAGCACCGGCUAACUUCGUG